rnacentral:rRNA from 1 species
ACGCUCGACACCUACGGGAGGCAGCAGUGGGGAAUAUUGGGCAAUGGGCGCAAGCCUGACCCAGCAACGCCGCGUGAAGGAAGAAGGCCCUCGGGUUGUAAACUUCUUUUGACAGGGACGAAGAAAAUGACGGUACCUGUCGAAUAAGCCACGGCUAACUACGUGUCAGCAGCCGCGGUAAUCUGAGCGGGCUGGCAAGGC